rnacentral:rRNA from 1 species
CCUACGGGAGGCAGCAGUGGGGAAUAUUGGGCAAUGGUCGAAAGCCUGACCCAGCAACGCCGCGUGAAGGAAGAAGGCUUUCGGGUUGUAAACUUCUUUUGACAGGGAAGAGCAGAAGACGGUACCUGUCGAAUAAGCCACGGCUAACUACGUGCCAGCAGCCGCGUUAAUACGUAGGUGGCAAGCGUUGUCCGGAUUUACUGGGUGUAAAGGGCGUGUAGCCGGGCUGACAAGUCAGAUGUGAAAUCCGGGGGCUCAACCCCCGAACUGCAUUUGAAACUGUUGGUCUGGAGUAUCGGAGAGGCAGGCGGAAUUCCUAGUGUAGCGGUGAAAUGCGUAGAUAUUAGGAGGAACACCAGUGGCGAAGGCGGCCUGCUGGACGACAACUGACGGUGAGGCGCGAAAGCGUGGGGAGCAAACAGGAUUAGAUACCCUAGUAGUC